rnacentral:rRNA from 1 species
CCUACGGGUGGCUGCAGUGAGGAAUAUUGGACAAUGGACGGAAGUCUGAACCAGCCAUGCCGCGUGCAGGAAGACGGCUCUAUGAGUUGUAAGUAGCUUUUGUACAAGGGUAAACCUGAAUACGUGUAUUCAGCUGAAAGGACUUUACGAACAAGGAUCGCCCAACUCCGUGCCAGCAGCCGCGGUACUACGGAGGGUCCAAGCGUUAUCCGGAUUUAUUGGGUUUAAAGGGUGCGGAGGCGGAUUGAUAAGUUAGAGGUGAAAUGUCCGAGCUUAACUCGGGAACUGCCUCUAAUACUGUUGAUCUAGAGAGUAGAUGCGGUAGGCGGAAUGUAUGGUGUAGCGGUGAAAUGCUUAGAGAUCAUACAGAACACCGAUUGCGAAGGCAGCUUACCAAUCUAAAUCUGACGUUGAGGCACGAAAGCGUGGGGAGCAAACAGGAUUAGAUACCCGGGUAGUC